GGACCAGGGGCAGUGUGCACCAUGGCCUGGGCUCCUCUCCUGCUCGUGCUCCUCUCUCACUGCACAGGUUCCCUGUCCCAGCCUGUGCUGACCCAGCCGUCCUCCCUCUCUGCAUCUCCUGGAGCAUCAGCCAGACUCACCUGCACCCUGAGCAGUGGCUUCAGUGUUGGCAGUUAUGGUAUAGCCUGGCACCAGCAGAAGGCAGGGAGCCCGCCCCGGUACCUGCUGUACUACCACACAGACUCGAACAAGCACCAGGGCUCCGGGGUCCCCAGCCGCUUCUCUGGCUCCAAAGACGCCUCGGCCAAUGCAGGGAUUCUGCACGUCUCUGGGCUGCAGCCUGAGGACGAGGCUGACUAUUACUGUAUGAUAUGGGAUGGCAGCUCUAAGAGUUACACAGUGAUCUAGACACACGGGGAUGUGAAACAAAAAUCUCCUCCUCUUCUUCUGGCCCUGUGAUUUCAG